rnacentral:lncRNA from 1 species
UGCUUUAUUUACUUAUAAUUUUUAUUAAUGGAAUGAAACUCUAUAUGUAAGUAGCUACAAGCAAUAUGCAAGCAGUUCAUAUAAUUAUGCAUACAUAUAAAACUAAUAAGCAGAAAAAACUAAUAAGUAGCCAUAAAUAAUUCCUUUUCUAUAUUUUGUAGGAAAAAGAACAUAUUUAAAAAGCACACUGAACCAGGAAAAAAUAUACCAUAUGGCUUAUAUCAGCAAGUAACUAAAUCACUGUGAUCAGAUUUAAAUUCCCUUAAUUUUAGUUUUGUUUAAUAUAAAAAUUAAGGGCAAUAAUAGAUAACUCUACUCCUUCAGAGAUUGUAAAUUAGAGUAAGAAAAAAUAAUCAUUUUGAUCACUUUAGGAAAACAGCAAGCAGCUAUCACAGUACAAAUAAUAUAUUUUAACUUGAAAAUCAAUGUGUGAUGAGUUGAGCUGACAUGAUGAGAUUAAUACUUCAGGAUAUCUCAGAGCGUCUCAUGAACAUGAUCCAUGUAACAAAAGCUGAUUCAUUCUCACUGUUGGCCAACUUGAGAAAUGUGUCAGUAUCUUAAAUAGUGAAGGAAAGGACCAAAUAUUUUAGAAUAAGAAUCUUCUCAAAAGAAAAAUUCUAGUGUCUGAAUUAUUUAGUUUAGCUUUCAGCAUUGGCCAGAUUUCCUGAAAAGUUUUCUCCCACUACAUUUCUAUUAAUAUAUGUAUCAACAGAUAGGAUUGGCCGCAAGGAAGCACUAAAGGUAGAACAGAGGGUAGAAAGAUGGGGAGAAGUCAUGCUAUUCUUUCCCCCUUUCCCCUGUUUUCCAGAGGCUUUUCUGCAAUAUAUACACUAUCUUGUGGCUCCCUUUGGACCAGUUCAGCUGCACCCUUCAAAAUUCUGCUACCACCAGAUGGAUCAGUGGAUAUGCAAUCGCCAGUGAGAGCUUAAUUGAAAAAAAUUCACUGGAAUCAAAUGAAAAAAUGAUUUCUCCCCUUUCUAAUCGAGCAUGUUCCACUAUUCUUUGUUGUAGCAAUAAUUUUACCUGUCACAAAUUUCAAGAUAAAAAAAGUUUACUGCUUGAAUUCUUACAAGAUAAAGAUAUUCUCUUAUAGUUUUAUCUCAGGAAUUUAUCUUUUUAUCUUUUCCUAAAUUGAGGUGAAGGAAACAAAUACUAUCUUUACUAUCAAAGCAGUGUACUCCUGAAUUUUAAACAUAGUGGUAAAAAAGCAAAAAUUUUUAUCACUCAUGGAGAGUUAAAAUACCUUUCGUGGCCUUUUUAAUUAUAUGAAAACCCUACAAAGGAAAAAGAAAGAUACUGUUAUCAGAUUCUUUAGGAGCUUCCAUUAACAAUGGCUCCAUGAAGUAAGGAGAUAUUAUAAGUAUUGAAAAAGGUUAAUUUUCGAUAGGGUUGAUUAUAACAAUAUUAGAAGUUCAGGAAAAAAAAUCGUUAGAUUAUUUAUGGCUUUUGUCAUGUAUGUGGUACGUUGCAUAUCAAUCUGUAUAAUUACAUUUAAGAGAAAUUUAAUUGUAAUAUCUAUGUCAUUUUAAAGAAGAGGAUUCCUCAUUUAAUUACUAAGAUUCCACAAGCUCUUGAAUAUCGUCUUUUAAUAUAUACAAAGGAAACUCAAUCUGACAGACAUUUUGUCAUGUGAUGAUUUUUCUCUGAAGUUAAGGACUAUUUCAACAGUACAAAUUUUCAUAAUCCCUAUAGGUAUUUCUUCUUCUGUACUUAGGGGAGAUUGGGUGGUCCAUUCAGGCACCAUUCUCUCUCAGAAUGGCAUUCCUUAGAAUAUGAAAAUUGUACACCAAGUCUAUUGAUCAUUAGAUCUUUUCUGUUGACCCUUAAUCUGAAACACAGAAAUACUGGUCAUUAUCAAAGAGGAUCAUCUCAAAUUCAGGGACACUAAAUACUUAUCAGUAGAUUGACAGAAAGAAAUAACUGUUUGUGAAGUGUUUCCUGAUUAUUAUUGUGCAUCAUAUCUCUAGACUUGCACACCCUUUAUGGUAGCCACUAGCCACAUGUGGCUGAUCAGCACUUGAAAUGUAGCAAGUCAAGUUAAAAUGAACUGUAAGUAUCACGUACACACCAGAUUUCAAAAAUAUACCCAAAAGUAUAAAACAUCUCAUCAAUAAUGUUUAUAUUGAUUACAGGUUGAAAUGAUAUUUUGCAUAUAUUACAUUAAAUAAGAUAUAAAAUUAUUUUCACCUAAUUUUUAAAUGUGGCUGCUAUAAAAUUAAAAAUUACCUAUGUUGAUAAUGGUUCCUGUCAUGGCUCAGGAGUAGCAAACCCAACUAAUAUCCAUGAGGACACGGGUUCAAUCCCUGGCGUUGCUUAGUAGGUUAAGGAUCCAUUGUUGCUGUGGCUGUGGCAUAGGCUGGCAGCUAUAGCUCCUAAUGAACCCCUAGCCUGGGAACUUCCGUGUGCCAUGGGGGUGGCCCUAAAAGAAAGAACAGAGUCCUUCAAGUCUCUGGAUAUCUUCUAAAAUCAAAUAACUGUGUAUAUACACAGUGAAUACACAUUCCUGUUAAUCCUGUUCAUGGUUUACAGGUUAAGAAUUCAUGUUCCAGAUAAUUUACAGUCUACUUUUGAAUUAAAUAAGACCAAUGCCAGUCUCUAAUGACUGAUAGCUUCUACAACUCUGUUAAAGCAAGAAUGCUAUAACAAAGUCCCCAGAUUUCAUUGGUUUCCAUUUAUUUGUCCACAGAAGUAGUUUGUAUUCAAUGAUCUUUGAAGCUCCUUUUAUCAGUAAUUUUCUUUGAUAUUUUCUUCUGAAUCCCAGGUGUUUAAUAUAUUCAGUAUUCUUAAAGUAGAAUACAUAAUAGUUGGUACUGUUUGGGAUUCAAGACUAAACAAUUCUCCUAAGUAUUGUUUCUCUGCUGAAUUAUAAUAAUUAUGCAAUCCUCCUCCUAUUUAAGGAGUGUUUGGUUUUAAAUUUUAUUUAUUUUGAAUACUGACACUUGCAAAAUGUCUGUGGAGUUAUCAGACUACUCAGUGUUUAAAAUUAAGGCGUCUGAAGAAAUAAGUGAUAAAAACUUGUGCCUUUUACCAAGAAGUCCCAUUUUAAACAUGAGUCAUAUCAGCAGUGCCCUUCAACCUGUCCUCUAACCUGAAGCCAACUUCCAGUUCCUGAUGAAAGUCGAGCAAACAUGUGUACUUUAACAUAGUCAACAGACAAUAAAAUUGCAUUGCCUUAGUGAUAAAAGAAGAACAGCAACAUUCCCCUGCUUUCAGACCUGAACUGGCAAGACAGAAACACCAGUCUGUGGUUUCACUUGGUGUUCCAGCACAUUGAAAAUUACCUCAUUUGCGUGUUUGAGAAACCAAGUCAUGCUGCUUUUACUGAUAUUAAUUGGCAAAAGAUAUGGUGAAUGGCCUGGGGAAUCAAUAUAGUUUUGCAUCAAUUCUUGUAUAAGUCAUACAGCUGUUACAUAUUGCUUUUCUGCCAGAAAAGAAACCAAAAAUUAGCCUGGGGGGAAGGAAAAAAAAAAGAAAACUAUGUUGUGUAACAGUGUGUUCCCAUGAUGACUUUUGAAAUGUAUUUGUUUCAAUGAGCCUUUGAAACCACAGCAACAUGAUUUUGUCCUUAGAAAUACCAAAGAGAGUGAUCUAAAAAGUUGCAAGAUGUGGUUCCCUCAUCUCUCCUUCCUUCCAACAUCAUAAUAUCCUUAGAUACAGCCUUCUGGUUUGGAAGGGGAAACACUGGAAUAUGUUGACUCUGAAGAACAAUUGUCAUAGCUAGUAGGUCAAAUUGAGACAGGAUGAUAUUUUUCCCUCCUGAGCCUGCCCAUCCUGAAACUAAUCCCCUGUAAUUGAAGUGGAUUAGAGUGGUAAGAAGAGCAGUGUAUGAAAAUGGCAAACAGUUUAUAUAUCAUGCCUUUUAAAAAUAUUUGGGUAUUCUUUAUUCCAACUAAUUCUAUCCCAAUACUAAGAUUUCAGAAUUUAUAAAAGGGAUAUUCUUUUUUCCAUUCUGGAGAGUUGGCAAUAUAAAGAACUCUAGUUUUUAUUGGCAUUGAUUCAUAGCUGUCUAGAUGAUACCAAAAAAGCAAGCUUUAAAUAAUAUAUCUGAUUUACAAUCAAAUUGAUAAUUGUCAGCAGCAAAAGUUGAAUGUUAAAACAUUUUAAAUUUAAUACGGGGAAUCUGUAAUGUCAUCGUGCAGAUGAUUACAUUUUUAUUGAGGUCAAAGAUUGUUGUUUAAAAAUUGUCUUGAAACUUGUAUUCAAUUAUGUUGAAAUAGGAGAUUAUUGACAUAAAAAUAAACAAACUUGGUCUAAAAUCUCCAUGCACAUAAGGUCUUAUGUAACUAACUAGAAAAGCAAAACAGGAGUUCCCGUGGUGGCGCAGUGGUUAAUGAAUCUGACUAGGAACCAUGAGGUUGCGGGUUCGGUCCCUGCCCUUGCUCAGUGGGUUAACGAUCCGGCGUUGCUGUGAGCUGUGGUGUAGUGUAGGUUGCAGACGCGGCUCGGAUCCCGCGUUGCUGUGGCUCUGGCGUAGGCCGGUGGCUACAGCUCUGGCUACAGCUCCGAUUCAAAGCAUUUUGUGUGUUGAGUAGGGUAGAGUUUUGACUAGAGACAGCUCAAAAAGUGUAGGCUGAAGUAAAAAAUAGUGUAAGAAUGAACCACUUUUUCUAGAAAUUUGUCAGGGAAUAAAGAAAUUGUUUGGCAAGUAGGUAGGACUAAUGACAUCACUGUGAUUGUGAAAGGGUGAAAAUAGACAUAUUCGAAAGUGCUUUGUAGUGAUGUUUAUUUAAUAGCAAAUGAAAUAGUGUUCUUGGAGUUUCUGCAGUAGCACAGCAGGUUAAGGAUCUGGUGCUGUCUCUGCAGUAGGUCGGAUCACUGUGGAGGCAUGGGUUUGAUCUAGCAUUGAAGCAGCUGUGGCUUGUUUUGAUUCCUGGCCCAGGAACUUCCAUACGCUGCAGAAAUGUGCCUCCCCCAGUGGUGUUCUUUAUCAAUUGAUUCUUGAAACCCAUAUAGUAAAGUGAAAAAGUAGACCUGCAGAAGUUGUUUACUCAAAAAUUUCAUAUGAAGUUUUUAUAAUUUUGAUUAGGUACUAUUGAUUUUACUUUGUUUCUAUAUUCUAACAUUUAAACUUAAUUUUGGGAGUUCCCGUUGUGGCUCAGUGGUUAAUAACGAAUCCGACUAGGAAGCAUGAGGUUGCAGGUUCAAGCCCUGGCCUUCCUCAGUGGGUUAAGGAUCUGGCGUUGCCGUGAGCUGUGGUGUAGGUCGCAGAUGCAGCUCGGAUCCCGCGUUGCUGUGGCUCUGGCGUAGGCCGGUGGCUACAUCUCCAAUUAGACCCCUAGCCUGGGAACCUCCAUAUGCUGUGGGAGCGGCCCAAGAAAUAGCAACAACAACAACAAAAAAGAG